GAUGAACGCUGGCGGCGUGCCUAAUACAUGCAAGUCGAGCGAGCAGACGAGGAGCUUGCUCCUCUGACGUUAUCGGCGGACGGGUGAGUAACACGUGGAUAACCUACCUAUAAGACUGGGAUAACUUCGGGAAACCGGAGCUACUACCGGAUAAUAUAUUGACCCGCAUUGUUCCAUAGUGAAAUACGGUUUUUCUUUCGCUUAUAGAUUGAUACGCGCCGCAUUCAUUUGUUGGUGAGGUAACGGCUUACCAAGGCUGCGAUGGGUACCCGACCUGAACGGGAGAAUGGACAGACGGGAAGUGAGACACGGUACAGACUCCGACGGUAAGCAGCAGUAGGGACUCCUACGCGAGGGGGCAGAGCGUGAUGGAGCAACGCCGCGUGAGUGCUGAAGGUGUACGGACCGGAAAACGAUGUUAUUCGUGAAGAAGAAAUGUGUAAUUAACCAUGCACGUAUUGACAGUACCGGGACAGAAAGCCACGGCUAACUACGUG
rnacentral:rRNA from 1 species